rnacentral:lncRNA from 1 species
UCAGCCCCACGUUACCUAAUCUCCCGACCGCACCAAGCAUGAUUGCUGACACAUUGUGCAACAGAAAGGCAAGGGUCUGGCCUCAGGUAUCGAAGCUCUCCUUAGCCGCCUUAAGUGCGGCAUGCUUCUCACUGUAUGCACUUUUCUCCGCCAGGGGCAACUCCGACCACAGCUUGCCCAGCAGGCCGGAGAUGCCUGCCGAUGGCACCCCAUACUUCACAUGAAUGGUGGUGCCCUGAGAAGUUGCCAACUCAUGCUGCUCCUUGCAGAACAGCAUGUAAGCAUUUGGAACCUGCGCACCCUUGCCGCAAUUGGAUCUAGAAGCACCAUUGGUACGCUGCUUCUUAUGUCGCCCAGCCUCCCCAGCCCUGCUGCCCGUUCCGCCUGUCUGCAUCACAGCUGCCGCCUCCCCAGCCCCGCCACCCGUUCCACCUAGUCUGUACCGCCGCUGCCGCCUCCCCAGCCCCGCCACCCGUUCCAUCACUCUGCACCGCUGCUGCCGCCUCCCCCCCAGCCCCGCUGCCUGUUCCACCUAGUCUGUACCGCCGCUGCCGCCUCCCCAGCCCCGCCACCCGUUCCACCACUCUGCACCGCUGCUGCCGCCUCCCCAGCCCCGCUAGCCAGAACUCUUCGGAGAGUCACCUUUUGCUCUGCCUUUACAGGAGAUUUGUACAUCUCAGGGUGCACAGGGGUGACAUUAGCCUCCACUCAAGGAAGUAACGCCAUCCACCAUGAAACCAAGGCACAGUAGGAUGAAGUAAGCUUACUGAGGCGGCUCCUCUACUGCAUGCUCCACUGCAUCCUCGACCUCCUGCCCUGCAGCCGCGACCCAUACGAGAUUGCCGCCAUGGCGCGCAUUGUCAUACAUCUGCUCCAUUGCGCGCAGCUAUAUGAUAUCUACGUUAGGUAUAUGAGCAAUAUCAAAGACUGAUAAUUUUAGAGCUGGGAAUCAGGCUUCAUGGAAGGCUAGAUGGAACGGUUGAGCGAACGGGAGGCUUAAUGGAGCUCGUCCACGAAAUCAAGAUGUCCGUCAGAAAAUAAAAAAAAUUGUAUUGACUAAAAUAAUAGAAAAUGUAUUUGGUGCCAAGUGAAUGAGGCGCUUGCACAGUCGGACUGGAAGCUGGUUAUUUUGGUCCGGCAGCCGGUCCGGCGAUGACCGGAACCGGUCCGGAAUCCCCGUUUAUUCAUCGGAUGACAGAGUACGACACUGAAGCUUUAUACUUCUUUA